AUUAUGUGAUAUAUGUAUAUAUAUUUGUGUUUGUGUGAUGUGUCUAUAUCCAUAUAUAUCACACAGACAUAUACAUAUUAUUAAUGUAUAUGAAUGAAUGAAUGGAAAUCAUAUGUGCAUAUACCUGUGUAUGUAAAUGCAUGAAUAGUUUCAAAAGAUUGCUCUAUUGCAAAAAUGAAUAAUAUGGAAAUAGGUAUCAAGUGAUAACAUUUGUAUAACCCAGUGGAAUUGCUUGUCAGCUCUGGUAGAAAAGAGGGAGGGAAAGAAAAAGUAUCAUGUAAAUGUGGAGAAAUAUUUAAAAAUAUAAACAUUUAAAUACAUGUAUGUAUGUCACACACAUUUAUAUCCAUUACAUAUUUAUAUUCUGAAACCCCAAUUCGGAUAUAAACAUAUUUGUAGUCUGAGCCUUUGCAGACUAUUGAGCUCCAAGUUAAGAAAAUAAAUCCAAUUUCCCAUUUUAUUUCUUGCCAGCUGCCUUAGCACACAUUUUGCGAAGAAGGGAGAGAAAACAAUUACCUUCAAUCCCUGGACACUGGCCUGUUCAGUGUACUCAAAUAAACCAAGCUAUCAAACCUUGAACAUUUCCAGCUCAGACGACCUUUGUCAACAACAUCUGAAUGGACCAACAUCUGAAUGGGAACAUUUUGUGAUUUAAAACACUCCAUGCCAUUCUUCCCUUUUCUGGAACAAAGUAAUAGAAGGCCUCAUGGGGACCUGCCAGCUUUAUUUCAUUCUGCACAGUGGAGUGAGCUGAACCCAGAGUCAGAAGAUGAGUUCAAAUCUUGCUUUUGACAUUUUUUGGCAGUCACUUUGGGCAAAUAAUUUAUCCACUGGAAGCCUCAAAUUUUUUAUCAGUGAAAUGGGUAUUUUGGAGCUGAAAGGAAACUAGGAGAAAACCUAGUACAAUCUCUUCAUUUUCCAGAUGAAGAAUCUGAGGCUCUGAGUAAUUUAUUCAAGGUCCUACUUUCCCUGGAAAAGUUGUUGUUCAGUCAUUUUCAGUUCUGUUUGAUUUUUUCAUGAUCCCAUUUGGGGUUUUCUUGGUAGGAAUACUGGACUGAUUUGACAUUUCCUUCUCCAGCUCAUUUUACAGAUGAAGAAACUGAGGCCAAUAGGAUUAAGUGACUUGCCCAGAGUCACACAGUUUGUGAGUGUUUGAGUCUGGAUUUGAACUCCCAAAGAUGAGUCUUCCUGACUCUAAAUCUGGCACUCUGUUCAUUAUGUCACCUAAAAGACCUGCUCUUCAAUCUGAUAGACAUUCCCUAUAAGGCCCUCCCAAAUCUCUCCAAUAUUAGUUCCUACUCUUCCUUGUAAAGACCCUUUGAUCUAGUUCGACUGGAUAUUUGCACACAUUUCUAUGUGUUUGUAUUCGUGCUGCUUCUGAAUUCUGGGGACCUUCCUGAAUCGCUCCUUUUCCAGAUGCAAUGCAACCUACUGAAGUCCCUCCUCCACCCUGAAGUCUUCCCUGACUACCCUAGGAGAAAGGAGAUGAUUUCUCCUUUCCCUGAGUCCCAGGGUACUCACUUUCUGAACCUCUGUUUUUGGCAGUAGUGGAGGGGAGAAUUAUAAUGCUUAUAAUAUAAACAUCUCCUCUGUCACAGGGUUGUUUUGAGAAUCAAAUAUAAUUAGUAUGAUUACAGCAAUCUGCAUAGCGAGUUUGGGGGCUUUGUACAAGGUACUUUUCCUCUUUGGGUCUGUUUACUCAUCUGUAACAUGAGGGUAUGGAUUAGAUUACUGCAGUAGUCUCUUCCAGCUCUAACAUACGAUGACUGUAAGAGUCUAAGCUUUUUUCCAAAUCUGAAAUGCUAGGAUUCUAGGAAACCUAAAGAAUUUUCAAAGUCCCUGUUUCAAUCCAUCCUCCAAAAGAAAUCCCCUUCACUUAGCAGAACCAAGAAAACAACAUAUACAAAGACAACAAUGAUGCAAAUGGAACGACUAAUCACUUACACAAAAAUAAAUAUUGUAAUGUUAAAAAGAACAAUUCUGGCCGCAAAGAAGACUCCUCUUCAGGGGUGAGAGUUCCACGAGUGGAGAACAUUUUCAGAGUCUUUUGAUACUGAUCAAUUAUGCUGAUUUUUCUUCUCUUUCUUUUUGCCCUUAAAAUAUUAUCUGUUAUGACAUGGCUCUCUGGGAGAGGGGAAGAUAUUGAAGUGAUGGGGAAACUAGGUGGCUCAAUAGAUAGAGUGACGCCUGGAGACAGGAGUUCAAAUCUGGCCUCAGACAACCUGGGCAAGUCAUUUAAUCCCCUUUGCCUAGUCCUUACUGCUCUUCUGUCUAGUAAUAUAUAACUUAGUAUGAAUUCUUUGACAUAUGGUAGGGUGUUUUGUUUAAAAAAAAAGAUACUGAUGGGAAAUUUUGAUUAUAUAUAUGCAUAUAUAUAAAGAAAUCAAUAAACAUUUCAAAAAAGUUUUUGGAAAAAAAAGAAAUUCACUAUAAGUAAUCAUGUGCUCCUAUAUUUCCAUGACGGGGGAUUCCUCCUGAAUAGCUCAUUCCACUUUGGUUUGAAUCAUUAAGCAAUUUUUUAUUAUAUCAAACUGAAAAAAAAGGAACAAACCCAAACACUGAAGUUUCUUCCCUCUGGGUCCAACGAGAACAAAUCUAAUCCCUCAUUUGGCUCUGGAUACUUAGAAUUGACCAUCAUUUUUCUAGAUGCAAUUACCAAAGCAAACCUCCAACUCCAAAGGGACAGAGCAAGAACUAAAAAAUAAUACUGGUUAAUUGAUUAAUAUCUAUCAUGUGCCUUGUCUCCUCACUAGCACUGUAAGAAUCUGGAAGGCAGGACCCUGUCUUAUUCUUCUCCGAUAUUUCCUACACUUUUAUCACAUUCUAUGAAAAACAAAAAGUUAUCUAGCUUGUCCCUUCCCUUAAACGCCACAUAUUGGAACAAACAGGUGUGGCAAUUCUCCAAUUAAACACCUCUAUUUUUUCAUUCAUCUGCUUGCUGGAAAUGAGCUGCUGUUUAUUUAACUAAUUGGACUAAACCACUCCGGCUUACAAUUGUAAACAGAGGUGGGCAAACUGAAUUAAUUUAAACAAUGUGAGUGGGGCCUUUCUGGCUUAGCCAAGGAUCAUAAAGUUAAUGUGGAAUAACAGGAUGAUUAAGGCAUCCAACCCCUUCAUGAAGGGUAAUUAUACUCCCUCAGUGCUGGCGCCUGGGAGAAUUCAUUCAGGUGUACAGGCAAUUGUCUGCAGGGGAAGAGGGACACAUCUGGAGAGGAAGCAGAACCAUUCUUUCUCCAGUAAUUCUGUCCAAAUAUUUCCAUUUCUAUCACUGAACAGUGGUCUUUUGGAAUGAACCACAUUGAUUUUUUUCUUAUUAAAAUGAAAUAGAUAGUCCAACCACAUCCCACUCAAGUUUUUUGCUAAUGCCUCAUCACAGGCUCUCCAAAGCUAUACCAGAGGACUCUUAGGUCUAGUAGGGCCCACCAAAAUGGGAAAGUUUUCAGUGCAGGUCCAUUUGAUUCCCUAUAGAAUACAGGAUUUUAGCUUGCAUUCAUAGAACUUUGGAGCUAGAAAGAAGAAAUCAUCUUGUUCAACCAGCUCAUUUUACCACUAGGGGAAACAGUGUCAUGGAACAAUAGUUUGAACUGUCCAAUGCCCCAGGACCAUUUGCAAAAUCUUACAUUUACAUGAGGUAGUUCAUGCUGAUCCAAGUGAUCUAUUCUCAUUCUGCCUCCCUGCAAUUACUGUGUAUUUAUUUUAUUAUGCCUGUUUUUCUUAACUCUUGUUCAUUAUUGCCCUUCCAUCCCUCUCCAAAUAAAAUGUGAGAUCCUUGAAAUCAAUAACUUCUUUCUUUUUGCCUUUGUAUCUUUAGCAUCUAGGAAGGGGUAUGGCAAAUUUCAGUCUUUUUUUUUUCAGUUAUGUCUGACUCUUUGUGAUGCUAUUUGGGGUUUUCUUGGCAAAAAUAUGUGAGUGGUUUGCCAUUUCCUUCUCUGAAUCAUUUUACAGAUAAAAAAAAUGGAGGCCAACAGAGUUAACUGACUUGCCCAGGAUCACACUGCUAGUCUGAGGUCAGAUGUGAACUCAGGAAGAUGAAUCUUCCUGACUCCAAACCCAGCACUCUGUCCACUGUGUACUAGCUAGCUACACAGAGUUGGUGCUUAAUAAAUUCAAUUUGAAUGAAACUGAAUCAAAUAAAAAAUAGCUUUUACAUCUUUCCUUAAGCCACUGGGUGCACUUUAAGACUGUCCAAAUUCUUAAACUUGAGCUAAGUUCUUGCUCACUUACCCUAGCUCCCAAGGGGCAAUUUAACCCAUGGGUCAUUGCAAUGCAAUGUCCUGCUUCCCAAUCCAGUGAUCUUUCCACUCGACCAAAAUACUCUGGGGGUGCUGGAGCCAGCUUGAACAGUCUCGAGUGCCCAUUUCCAAAUAUUUAAUAUAAGCAUUUGUACUUUGAAAAUUCACAAAUCCUACAAAUCAGGACUUAAUUUAUUGUUUGGGUUUUUCAAAUUGUCUGGACAUAAGAAAAUGAUGAGGAGUGAUUAACAAUGUCGAUUACACUCAAAAUGUGUGUCAUGCACACAUUUUUUCCAGAAAACUGGAUGUUAAACAUUUAAUAGUAAAUCUCAUUCCUAUCCAUUCUUUUCAGUCCCAAAACAAGUUCCAUUUCUUAAUAACAACAGCUAAAUACUACCCCAGCACACAAUAGGACCAUUACUUUCCUCAUGCAUAAAAUGAGGAGGCUGGAUUAGAUAACCUCUAGUUUCUUCCAGUUCUGAUAUCCUCUUGUUCUGUAGUGCUAAAGUCCCUUCCAGACAUGACAAGCUAUGCUCUUUGAUUUUAUGGUCUCUGCCAGCUCUAUCAUCCCUUCAUUCUAUCAUUUGGAGGCCCAUCCCACAUUUGAAAUUCUCCCUCCCCCGAAUUUCCUACAACACCACAUUCUGUACCCUACUUUUGGCACUUCAUCACAUACUGCCUUAUGACACAUCUCUUAUGUUAUUGCUAUUCAAGUCCUGUAUAGUUAAUUAACUUUUCACAUGUUUAUGUCUUGUUUCCCAACUGGUCUAUGAGAAGAGGGACUGCAUGUGAUUUCUAUCUGUUUUGUCUCCAGUUGGCAACUGAGACAGGGCCCUCACCCAGAAGGUGCCCAGUACACAUUUACUGACUAAUAGGGUCUUACAGAUCUCCAGGGUUCUCUGAACUAAUAAGAUUUGAGAACCAUUCAUCUAAUUUCACUUUAAAAUUUACUGAAGAGAAAAUGGAAAGCCAGGAAAAGGAAGGAAUUGGGCUCAAGACCACCCAAAUGAUCUAAAUAUAAGACCUGAAACUUCAAAUCCAAUAUUAUUUCCACUACACAAGUCAAUACAUACUGUAAAUAAAGUCACUCCAGACUAUAAAAAAAGACCCACAAGUCUUUUUUUUUUUUGGACAUUCUAUAAUUCUCCCUGGAAUGCAGCCAUUUACAUAUGAAACCUUUGCAGACAUUAGCACAUCAUAGAUACCAUUCUUUCAAAGACUUCCUGACUGUGAUCCUACUCUUGGGGGAAGAAGGGAAAAAUAUGACCCCAGACUCUCUUCAUGGGAACUUUAAACCCAAUAUUCUCUGCUAAGCCCAACUCUCUGGUUUACCACAGGGCUAAAGAGAUGGCUCUGAUAUGCACCCUGGAGGAUAGCAUUGUUCAAUGAAAGUUGAAGAAGAAAGCAUUAAAAGCUUCAGAGCUAGAAAGCUUGUUUUGUUUGUGGUCAGAAAAAUGCAUCACAGAGACCAACAUAUAAGCCUUCUUUGGGCUGACCCAUGCACAAAGAUUUCCUUGUUUGAUAACAUCUGCCAGAACUCAUGUUCUGUGGGCAUAAUCUAGUACCAUCUCCCUGCUAAAUGGAAGCACUGGUGGAAGAUGUCACAGGGAGAGAGGGAGGAAGGAAGAAAAGGAAGGUAGAAGGAAGGAAAAAGAAAGGAAAGCGGGAAAGAAGAAAAGAAAGAAGAAAAAAAAAGGAAGUUAAGGAGGGAUAGAAGACAGAAGGAAAAAAAAAGCUUUCCCAUUCUUAUCUUGUUAAUACAGACAGAAAAGUGCUACAAAAGCACAAAGCCCUUUCUUCAUGGCUCAGAAUAACUCACUUGGUGGUCAAUAAAUUGGUGGUGAUACUUGGGCUAGUCUUUAGCAGAGUCAUCAUUCUCACAAGCUUUGGUGACUUGUACCCUGUUGGCAUAGGCUUUGGGAGCCUUGAGUCACCUUCAUGUCAUGACAAAACAUCAGAGGUAGGCUUUGGUGGAAUUGUUAUUAGAGAAACAAUAAAACCUCAUAUUUGUAUACAUAGCACCUGGCAGUUAGUGCAGUACAGCAGAAAGUGUAUAAUAUUAGCAAUCAGGAGAUCUCAGUCCAAUAUUUACUAGCAGGAACCUGACAACCCACUUCACCCCUAAACCUCAGAUUCCUAAUCUGAAAAAUAGAUCUAAAUAGCAUUUUCAUUCCAUAACUCAGUUAUUAUGAAGAAGGUGCUGUAUAAACUUCAAAUCAAGAAAGAAAUGUGAGGCAUGAUUGCUGCUUUGUCUCAUUCUCAUCUUUCUUUUUUAAUGGGAUUUAGAUGAAAACAAAAUGAUGACAAGUCACUGGUCCACUUUUCUUUUAUAUCUAAAGUUUAGCCCAGGGAAGGUAGGUGGCUUAGUGGAUUGAAAGCUAGGUCUAGAGACCAGAGUUCCUGGGUUCAAAUCUGGACUCAGACACUUCCUAGCAAUGUGACCUUGGACAAGUCACUUAAUCCCCAUUGCCUGGCCCUUACCAUUCUUCUGCACUGGAACCAAUACACAGUAUUGAUUCUAAGAAAGAAGGCAGGGUUUAAAAAAUACAGUUUAGCAGACUAUUGCACAGGUAGAUGUGAUUAAUUUUUGCAAUUGAACAAGAGUAGAAUAUAAGCUUAUCAUUUGUAUACUCAGUAAAGUUUGUUUCCAACAUAUCCAGGCAGCAGGAGUCAAAAAGAGAAAUACCAUUUAAAAUCACCUUAGACAAAAUAAAAUAUCUAGAAAUCUAUUUUCCAAAGCAAACACAGGAAUUAUGUGUUUUUUACAUUUUUACAGUGUUUUUUACACUUUACAUACAAUUAAAACUAGAUCUAAGUAAUUGGAAAAACAUUAAUUGCUCAUGGGUAAGACAAGCUAAUACAAUAAAAAUGACAAUCCUACCCAAUUUAAUUUACUUAUUCAGUGCCAUACCCAUCGAAUUACCAAGAAACUUUUUUACUGAUUAGAAAAAAUUAUAACAAAAUUCAUUUGGAAGAACAAAAGACCAAGAAUAUCCAGGGAACUAACGAAAAAAAAAAAGGUGAAGGAUGGUGACCUAGCAGUACCAGAUCUUGAACUGUACUAUAAAGCAGUAGUGAAUUGAUGGCACAUGUUAAACCCAGUGGAAUUGAGUGUCAGAUAGGGAGGGAGUUGGGAGGAGAGGAGGGAAAGAACAUGAGUUUUGUAACCAUGGAAAAAUAUUCUAAAUCAUCUAACUAAAUAAAAUUAAAAAAGCAAAAAAAACUUCAGACAACUCUAGCAGCAGGCAAGAUGGAGAGAACGACAAGAAUUGUGCUAAUUUCUCCUACUAGAUGUCCAUCUUUUGAAAGUUUUUCAUUCUAAGUAGUUUCUAGAUACAAGUAUUUAGUAUGAUAACAUCUAUUAAAAAUCAUUGGUUCAUAAGUUUUUAAUGGACCAUUGUUAUGUAUAGUUUGGUAGCCAUAAACAAUAGUUGUUAUAUGUUCCAGUUCUUAUAUGGUUUAUUUGUUGAAAUCUCAAGGAAUUUUGUGAUUUUGCAUUUGAAAUAUGGAGAUUUGUCCUAUGAGGCAUUAGAAAGUAUAGUCAUCUUCCAGUGCAUAAUUCUAGCCACUGGUCACUUCUUUCUAAAUAUCCAGUAGAUGCUAAAUUUUUGUACCCUGCAGUGAUAGGUUGCACAGUUUUAACCAAUUCAAUGCAUAAUCUAUGUUGAUCAAUAAUUUGUUCAGGUUCCUUAAGGAUAAACUUUCUGUAAUUUCUAGUGGCAAUGGCCUGAUUCUGAAUCACUAUAAUGAACUCUUCUGGCUCUGUAACCAAAGUUGCAUGAUGGCCUUUAUUUCAAUGCCUCUUUGCUGACUGGUUGAAUUCUUGUGGAUGCCACCUGUGAAAUGCCUUAGGAUUCUAUGGUUGGAUUUUAAUGGUUUACAGGCUCUUUCUGAAGAUAAACUACUUUCAUUCUAAUAGACAAUUUCAUCCUCAGUGUCAGCAUUUUUAUAAAGUGAGGUCUGUUCUAAGAGUUUUGUUUUAAAACUUUAACUGGUUUUUAAGGUGCUCUGAAACUCUCAUUUGUUUUCCUCCUUUCUCAGGAAGAAGUAUUAAUUUUUCCAUAGCUGCCUUGGGGUGAUGAGCCCUGUAUUUAAUUAACAUUUUGUCUGGACACUUUCAAGAUCUAUUAUCAUUCAUUUUAUUGUUCCAAAAUUAGACAUUAAGUCCAUAUGGCAUAGAUGUCAAUUUCUCAAAAGAUUUUCUUCCUAUUAAACUUUAAUUUUAAGAUCCUAGUCAGUUUCUUACAUGCCUGGAGUAGGCUAAGAAACUUGUAAACAUUGUCUUCAGCCAUUGGUUCAAUUAAAUCUCUGGAAUCAAUCUCAAAGCAGUCAGACACUAGUCUUUCUUGGAAAACAUUACUAACUUUUUCACUGAGUCCAAAUGACAUUUUGAUAUUGUUGAAGGUUUUCACAGAAUUUCACAGAAUAAAGAUACCUAAUAGCAUAUUAUAACCUUUAUCUUCCAUCUUAGAAUCAAUACUGUGCAUUAGUCCUAAGACAGAAGAGUGGUAAGGGCUAGGCAAUGAAGGUUAAGUGACUUGGCCAGGGUUGCACAACCAGGAAGUAUCUGAGCUUAUAUUUGAACCCAGGACCUCCCACCUCUAGGCUUGACUCUCAAUCCACUGGGCCACCUAGUUGCCUCCAGUUGAUAUAAUAUUGAUGAAAUCUUCCAAUGCCUUUCUUGCUAUUUGUUGUUUAGUUGUUUCAGUUGUGUCUGACUCUUUGUGACCCCAUUUGGGAUUUUCUUGGCAAAGAUAUUGGUGGUUUGCCAUUUCCUUCUCCAGCUUAAACAGAGGAGAAAUCAGAGGUAAAGAGUGUCAAGUGUCUUGUCCAGGGUCACACAGCUAGCAAAUAUCUGAGGCCAGAUUUGAACCCAGGAAGAGAAGUCUUGCUGCUAUUAGUCCUGGAACCCUAUCCACCGUACCAUAUUGCUGUCCUGAUGUCUUCCAAAGUUUUUAAUGGUUUUUCUCAUGCUACUGCUGCUAUGAUGGUAUUUGAUGUUUGUCCUUUGGAAGAUUCCUCCAUAGCACACCUUUCUUCUUAGACUGUAGUAAUAACAAUGGCAGCAGCAUGUACUAUUGUGUGCAGAUCCUAAAAUGUCUUUAUACUCUCACGUAUUACAGGAGAAUAUAUUUGUUCAUCACAGUUACAGCAGAUACUAAUUUUUGGAAUUACUUUGGUUUGGUAUAAUUAGUCUAUUAGCUGCAUUCAGGAAAAAGGGCUUUUUGAAAUGUCAUUUCUAAAUAUGCCUAUCUGCUUUUCAAAACCAUGUGAGACAUCAAAAUUACCUUCCUUAUCUGUUUAAUUAUUAGGUAACACUUGUGGAGUUUGUAUAAAUUGCAGUAUUACAACAUCUUGAGGUUCUCUGGCAUUUUCCUCUUCCAAUAGACAUUAACUCCACAAUUUCCAUUCAUUUCUUUAAUGGAGGCUUAGGAAUUAAGUUUUCAUUGCCUAGGAUUGAUCCACAAGAGGCUGUCAAGUAACAUGGAGCUGAAAGGAUCAUUAAGAAAAAACAGGAUGAAGUCUUUGCCUAUCACUGAUAAAAUGGUUCCAGUUUUGUUCUGAUAUACUAUUGGUGAAUAAUGAAAACAUUCAUGCUUUGAGUCCUCUUCAUGUACAUCUGUGGUUGGCUAACUUUGAUGGUGGCCACUAUCUUCAAUGUGGCAUUUAUAGCAGGUGGGAUACUGAUAUUUUUACUUUUUCUGACUAGAGUACCAAAAUAGGAAAGGAUGCCACUCAUUUUGCUGCCUUUGGCAUCAAGCUUUUCAUCACGAUGGUUCUGUGUAGUCCUACAUCACAACCCUCUGUCACUCCAUCUAUUUCUUUGAGUCAUGUGAGCUACCCAAUCAGUGGUAUCACCAGAGGCCAAUCAGUUGGAAUUUCAGGAUUCUUGCUAGGCCUUUACUGAUACCACAGUAAUCUCAAAGUGUACAUAGUCCCCAAUGUCUAUCCCCCUGGAUAACAUUCUCCUACUUUGUCACUGAAUACCCCAACUCAUGACAUCAAUAAGGACUGGAUUUUGAGGGGAUAUUAUAAUUAUUUUUAACUUUGAUUUUUAUUAUUGUUUCAGUCAUGAAGCACUUUAAAUUUAUUUUCUCGUUAAAUUCUCCUAACUUCCUGGAAAGGUAGGCACAGAACAAUAUUAUCCUUAUACUGAAAAUGAGGAAAUAGUCCCAGAAAAGAAAAGUGACUUUUCCAAGGUCAUAUAUCAAAUUGAGGCAGAGCUAGAAUGAGAAUUCAAGCCUCCUGACUCUUUCCUAGUUCCGUUCUUUUUUUCUGCCCCAUUACAAUGCUUCCCUGAACAAGAGAUAAUGUACCAUAGAAUAUAAUCAGUAUUAGAAGAAUUAAGGGUCAAUGUAGAAAGCAAGAGAAAUUGAGGUAAGAAGGAAACACGAAACUAUCUAGCUAUGAUAGCUGGCUUCAAAGGAUGAGUUCUAUGGGUAAAAAAAAAAUCACUCCUCCCUGCUACACCUUCCUCCAUCCACCUAAUUCAUAAAAUAAGUAAAUAAAUGAUGCUCUGGUUAUACAUGCCUAGCAUGGGAGACCUAGAUGAAUAAGAUAAAGUCUUAGUACUGAAAAAAAUCUCUAGCAUAGUGUUGACAGGACACAAAUAAUUAUGAUACAAAGAAAAAUGUGAUAUAGUUGUUCAAAUCCUUAUCACCUUUCAUAUGGAUUACUAUCAUCAGUUCCUGAUUUAUCCCCUGCCUCUAAUCUCUCUUGUCUAACCCAUGCUCUUCCUAAAUCAUAUCUGCCCAUAUCCCUCCCCUUCUUAGCAGAUUCUUAUUGCUUAUGGGAUUUAAAAAAAAUUAAAAAGAGGGAGAGAAGGGAGACAAUUUGAACCUUAUAAUUUUGGAAAAU